rnacentral:rRNA from 1 species
UACGUAGGGGGCGAGCGUUGUCCGGAUUUAUUGGGCGUAAAGAGCUCGUAGGCGGUUCGGCAAGUCGGGUGUGAAAUUUCGAGGCUCAACCUCGAAACGCCACUCGAUACUGCUGUGACUGGAGUCCGGUAGAGGAGUGCGGAAUUCCUGGUGUAGCGGUGAAAUGCGCAGAUAUCAGGAGGAACACCAACGGCGAAGGCAGCACUCUGGGCCGGUACUGACGCUGAGGAGCGAAAGCGUGGGGAGCAAACAGG